rnacentral:rRNA from 1 species
GACGAACGCUGGCGGCGUGCUUAACACAUGCAAGUCGAACGGAAAGGCCCUGCUUGCAGGGUACUCGAGUGGCGAACGGGUGAGUAACACGUGGGUGAUCUGCCCUGCACUUCGGGAUAAGCCUGGGAAACUGGGUCUAAUACCGGAUAGGAGCCAUUUUUAGUGUGAUGGUUGGAAAGUUUUUUCGGUGUAGGAUGGGCUCGCGGCCUAUCAGCUUGUUGGUGGGGUAAUGGCCUACCAAGGCGGCGACGGGUAGCCGGCCUGAGAGGGUGGACGGCCACAUUGGGACUGAGAUACGGCCCAGACUCCUACGGGAGGCAGCAGUGGGGAAUAUUGCACAGUGGGCGCAAGCCUGAUGCAGCGACGCCGCGUGGGGGAUGACGGCCUUCGGGUUGUAAACUCCUUUCGCUAGGGACGAAGCUUUUUGUGACGGUACCUAGAUAAGAAGCACCGGCUAACUACGUG